UCAAUAAUGGUUCAGGGCUUAAUCGGAA
rnacentral:sRNA from 1 species